UUCUCUGGCUUUGGGCAUAUAGAAGGCCUUUCCAAUUAAGCAAAUUCUUUAACACAUACUGGGGGUACCUUAGAGUAUACGGUCCCAUUUGAGAAGUGUCAGAUGGCAUACCUGGGGAUGGAGGCAGCUCUCAGACUGGCUCAGGCUUCGGCUGUGCUCUAGAUUCCUUUGGUUUUAUUCCAAGAGACUGCUGAGGUUUAGUGGCCUAGGCGACGGGGCAGGCAAUGGGAAUGGAGCCCAGGAAUGGAGGCUGAGAUUGGGCGAAGGCCACUCAGCUGUUAAUUAUUGCAUGUGAGCAGUACCAGUCAGGCCUCUGUAGGGAUGGGAGUUAAUAGCACUGGCUUGGUUCUGAGGGUGUAUGGCAAGAGCGGGUCUAGCAUGUAUGUUAUGAGGCCCUGGGUUCAAUUCCCGGCAUUACAAAUAAACAAAAGCCUAUGAAAAGCCAAACACUCAGCUCUAAAAACGAAAACAAAACCUUUGUGGCCUGGUCUGCUAAGAUCCAGAAUCCUUUAAGAUCAUUGUAUCCACGUCCAUAUCCUGUUAUACAGAUGAGCAGAAUGAGACCCAGAGAACCACAGCAGAGCCAAUGCCAGGCCCAUCAUGAGAACACAGGCUUCCAACUUCCAGGCCUGCUUGUUGUAAAGAAUAAGAAGGUUCUGAGUCCCCAACUUCUACGAGCUACUAGUUACCCCAACCUCACCAACCCAAUCCUUACCCACUUCCAGUCACAAAAUCGCUGAUGGUCAGGAUCUUCUGAUCGGAACCUCAAGGGUUUGAAAGCCCAGACACCCUUCUCUUCUCACUUCUAUUACACGUCUUUAUGGUCCUUUAAGGAUCUGAGCCAAUUUUGAUAACUCCCACAUCCCACUGAAGCCAAAACAGAAUCCCCCAGGUUUAUCCAACUGUCCAGCCUCCACUAGGGAGCCCAGGGUGCUGCUGCUGUUGGAAAAGGGAGUGGGGAGUAGAUUUGAACAGGAGAAAAUGUAGAGCUGUUGAUCAGGUACCUGUGCCUGUAGCCCCAGAGACGGUUCCAAGUUGCACAUAAAUGUGGGAGCUGCCAGCGAAGUGUCUCAAUAGAAAUUUAGGUGAGGGAAUAGAGGCCAAUGCCUUGGCGAAUGCCAGGAGAAAGAAAAAGAAAGGGAGGAGAAAGAGGAUGAAGGGAAGGAGAGGAGGCAAUUUGGCCUCUGGAGAAAAAUCAGCCAAAGAGGAAGGCCCUACAAAGAGACCAGCUCCCAGGAGGUCCUGAUUCUAUCUGGCUGCCUUCUCCAUGGUCUCAGAAGUAUAUCCGAAUCCUGUGACACCCCAGGAGUGUUUGUCUCUUGAAGACCAGAACAGGUUGAGGAUCUCCAGGGCCUUCAGGCCUCCUUUCUUGUUUAUACAUCCAGAUGAGCCUACUGAUUAGGGAAGGGUGGGCCAGGUUUCUAUCAAUGCCUGAAGCUGGAGGUCCUGGAUAGAGGGAACCUGCCUCUGACCUGGG
rnacentral:lncRNA from 1 species